rnacentral:lncRNA from 1 species
CUAUUACUGUGGAUCAUGGAAUAAAGUAUUGGCAGUUAUUGAAGGGGCUGACACUGACACAUCCAAAGAUAUUUCCACCAUGUCAAGCAUCUACAAAACCCCACAGGUAUGAAUGUCAGGAGGGAAGGAAAAGUCCCAGAAUGUUAUUGCAAUUUCUUUGGAAAGAUGUGAAAAUGUUGUUCAUGAUUCUAAGGCAGAAGGAGAGAUUGGCCUCAACCCCCUCUUAACAAAGAUGACUCAGGAGAUUCUGGACUCAUCCACACUUAGAAAGCAAAGGUCUGAGUGGCUUUCCAUUUGCCCUGUGGUUUUUUGGCAUGGAUCUGAGAAUUUCCCCCUUAGCCUACUCCUUUCCCACAGAAAAUCUGUUCUUUCCCUCUAAACCAGAAAAAAGCACCAAUCUGUGAUUUUGCCCAAGGAAAGCAAUGGGACAUGGGGAAGUGUGGAUAAGCCCUUAGUUGAGUCUUCAAGAUCCCACAGGUAUAAAUGGUGUGAAUUAUGGAGAAGGGUCUUGGAGGAAAUUGUCAAAAUUCAUGCAGGAGAAUGGAAUAUUUCAGUUAUGUGGAUUCCUAGCCAUCAAAACUGAAAUAACAAUAAAUAAAUAAAUAAAUAAAUAAAUAAAUAAAUAAAUAAGUAAUAAAAGCUAGUGCCAUGUGUGAUAUACAUGAGCAAUUAUGCAAAAGGAAACAUUCAAUAAACAAGAGGCAAAAUACUUGGUUUCUAAUUUGCUACAUAUCGUGUCUAUACAAGUUAAACAGAGCCAGUCCUGGGGUCAUGAGUUCUGUCUGCCUUAGAAGAAGGGAUAAUUCUGUAAACACAUUUUCCCACAACUUUUCAUUUUGUGACACUCCAAACACAUGUGUUGAUAUGUCCCUGUAGUGGAACAUCCUUUCCAACACAUGGGAUAACUGUUGAGUUUUGCAAUACUUCAAGGAAUGCCUAGAAAGAUCUGAAAUAUAAUGUCUAGUAAAAAUAAAUUUCCAAACCAAUUUCCAAACACGAAACUGACUCGUGUGGAGAAUCGAUACUUUAGCUAUUAUAGGUCUAAUGUGAGCUACAAAUGGUCGUUGUGAUUGUGUGUGAGCUUUUUCCUUUUUAACAGUAUCUAUUUUUCAUAAAUUUUGAUGAUUUAAUGAAUAAAUAAUGAUUAAAUCAUAUAAUACAAUUAGAUAAAUUUGCUACAAGAAACAUGUUGUAAAAGCAAUAACAAAAAUGCCAUCAGGGCAAACACAACACAUUGCAAAGACUCUGUCACCUUUUUUUGAAAGCAAACAAUGAAAUAUGGUAUAUUGUUUUUUUUUAAAUGAUAUUUAUUACUUUUUUAACAUUUCCAACACAAACAAAAAAAGAAAAAACAAAAAAGAAAAAACAAUGCAAAUACAAUACAAAAACGCUACAUGAACUAAAAAAUAAAAAUAAAAACAAGCAAAAACAGUUUAAAAUCACCUCAAAGAUUUUCAAUAUCUUAUAUUUCAUUCACUUAUUUCCAGCGACCUCCUCCCACCUCCCUUUUUGUAUUCCACUUCUAUUAUUUGUUUCAGCAAUUCCUUUCCAUCUUACUCUGUUUUCUGUUCUAUAAUUAUCUUUACACAUUCUUGCCAUACUUUUCCUUAAUUAUUCUAUUAAUUUAUACCUAAUUCCUUAUGAUUAAUUUAUACCUAAUUCCUUAUGACAUUUCUGCUAAAGCCAUAUAAUUUCAUUCCAACAUUUUUCUAACAUUCCUUAAUUUACAAUAUCUAUAUAAAUGGUCUUUAAACUUUUUCCAAUCUUCUUCCACCGACUCUUCACCCUGGUCUCGGAUCUUGCCAGUCAUUUCUGCCAAUUCCAUAUAGUCCAUCAAUUUCAUCUGCCAUUGUCCAACGCUUCAAUGUUUUCAAAAAACAACCAUUCUCUCAACCAGCAAAAAGCAGAUGGUUCACAGCAAAAUUUAAAGGUCUGGCAGGGCGGGUCCUCCUCCUUCUUUGGCAUCCAUCAAUAUCUUAAGUUUUACUCGAGGCUUCCUGCCCUGCCACACAACUCUAGGAGCAUCCCUCUGCCACCUCCUGAAACCCUCCAUCCCAUCCAAAGCUUGCAGUGUUUGAAACAAAAGCAACAUCCCCGACAACACAGCAGCCCUCAUCCCCACCACAAUAACUCGGCCCAACAGUGACAACUUCUGAUUUGUCCAUAUUUCCAAAUCCCCCUUCUCUUCAAUCCAACAUCCUUCACAGUUAUCCUUAAGCAGAUUCACAUUUUUUGGCAGUCAUGUCAACCCCCAAAUACCUCUCUUUCUUAACCAAUGUUAGUAUCGUCUCCUGAAACUCUGUCAAGCUUUCCUUUUCCAAUUCAGAUAAGGCUCUGGUCCUCAAAUUCUUCCGUUCUUCUUUAAGUUCAAUCAUAACGAAUGUCAACUUAUGUUCGUCAGGUUGUCUUUGUAUGGAUGGGACUCUCCUCUCCAGUUGUAUUAUUUUAGAUUCAGCAGCAAGGGUUUUUCCCCUGAUCUGCAGUUUGCCAUAUCAAAGUAGAUUCCUGUGUCAGUUUCUGAGUGGUUUCUGAAUUAGUAUUCACCUUUUGUCCCAAGUUAUUUAAGCUUUCUACAGUUGAGUCAACUUCAAUAUUUGCAACAUCCAAUUUCACAUUUCUCGCAUCUAUUUUCUUUUGGAAUUGUUCCAGCGAAUCGUUUAUUUUCAAUAAUGCAGCCACUAAGGCCUCCUCUGUCAACAUCCCGUCAAUUUUUUCCUUUCCGUUUGCCAUAACACUCAAAAGAUUCAAGGUCAAUCCCAAAGUCUCACACUUUCUUAUCUUGCAGCUGGAAAAUCCCCUAGCCCAGCUCCUAUCAAGUAACCAAUUUCAAAAGCUUCCACUAGGGGAAAGCGAGUUGUAUUUGUAUCGGUCAGUAUGUCCUCUUUUAAACACAGUUUCAAUAAUCCAAAAUUAGUUUCAAUUUUCAGUUACUUUCCUCCUUUUUUAAUAAAGUUCAGUAAGGUUGUUUCAAUUUUCCGUUACUUUAUUCCUUUUUAAGUGCAGACGAAGACAAUGGAAACAAUGUAUCUCUUUUAUGCUAGCUGUCACCGAUCGUUCUAUUCGCUGUCAAUGAACCUUCCAAGGCACGUCGAUUUUACUGGCAGCCCGUUUCCAGGUUCGGGACGGUGGUAUUUUAACUUCCUCACUCACUCCUGCAGGGAUAUACAAUCCAAAGCCUCCCCCCUCUUCUCCUGCUUCCAAGGGGGGUUUAAUAUUUUUUACUGAUGAGAAUUUAGUCCUUUACAAUGGGCUUUCCAAGACUUUAGCUUACAGCCUCUUUGCCUCAGUCUUAUUUACAAAAAGGGGAGGUGGACUUCCUGUUUUGAACCUCCCCGUUUCGGUGCCAAAUUAAAACGUUUAAAAAUCCAAUUCUUCACUCUACUCACGGGUAGUUGCUUUAAAAUCAAAUUGUCCACAGGAAAAAGUCAGCGCUCUCCGGCAACAGCUAUGCGGCUUCGCUUCGAUCCAAAGCACCGUGCCGCUCACCCCACAUCGCUCCGGAUCCCCGAAACCGGGUUUCCCUGCGAGUAGGGGAGGCGCAAAAGGUGCCUGCCGAAUCCUACGUUCACAGGCUUCAACCGCCUGUGAUUUUUAGUGGGUCUCCACCUUCGCCGUGGCGGCCAGACCCAAAUUUCCACGAGGCAAAUUCCUCCCAAUCAGAGGAAUUCCGCCAUUGCCGGUGGCGCCAACCCGGAAGUCGAAAUAUGGUAUAUUGUUAAGCUCCCCUGGGAUAUUGUUUUCAAUGUCAGAGAAAAGUUAUCAUUCAGGCCAAUAUAAAGUACUAUGUUUGGGAUUCUGUAGGCAAUAAUCUCUUCUGUUCUUUACUAGGUCAGUUACGGUUUUGUUUCUGAUGCUCUUAAUGACAAAACUCAGUUCCCUUUUGUCUACCGAAUGGUCCCCAAAGAGGAACAUCAGUACCUGGGGAUAGUCCAACUGCUCCUGCACUUCAACUGGACUUGGAUUGGCCUCGUUGCUCCAGACACCAACAAUGGAGAGAGGUUCAUGAGGACCUUUAGGCCCCUGCUAACCAGGAACACAAUUUGUGCUGCCUUCUCACUAAGCAUCCCAGUACAGGAUAUGGAAAUACCGUCACCUUCCAAAACAUUUUUCAUGUGGAACAAAGUCAAUGUAUUAGUCUACUAUGGGGAGAAUCGUUACUUCUAUAGUUCAAUAUCUAUUUUGCAAUUCAUAGUUGAAAAGCAUGUAAGACCCAUUGUGGGGAAAAUCUGGAUCACAACAGCUUUGUGGAACAUCACUGGGAACUUGUCUUACAAUAUUCUUUCUCCCCUGCACAUUCAUGGGUUUUUCUCUUUCUUAACUCGUAUUAAAAGAAGG